CGCUUAGGCGUGUGACUGCGUACCUUUUGUAUAAUGGGUCAGCGACUUAUAUUCUGUAGCAAGGUUAACCGAAUAGGGGAGCCGAAGGGAAACCGAGUCUUAACUGGGCGUUAAGUUGCAGGGUAUAGACCCGAAACCCGGUGAUCUAGCCAUGGGCAGGUUGAAGGUUGGGUAACACUAACUGGAGGACCGAACCGACUAAUGUUGAAAAAUUAGCGGAUGACUUGUGGCUGGGGGUGAAAGGCCAAUCAAACCGGGAGAUAGCUGGUUCUCCCCGAAAGCUAUUUAGGUAGCGCCUCGUGAAUUCAUCUCCGGGGGUAGAGCACUGUUUCGGCAAGGGGGUCAUCCCGACUUACCAACCCGAUGCAAACUGCGAAUACCGGAGAAUGUUAUCACGGGAGACACACGGCGGGUGCUAACGUCCGUCGUGAAGAGGGAAACAACCCAGACCGCCAGCUAAGGUCCCAAAGUCAUGGUUAAGUGGGAAACGAUGUGGGAAGGCCCAGACAGCCAGGAUGUUGGCUUAGAAGCAGCCAUCAUUUAAAGAAAGCGUAAUAGCUCACUGGUCGAGUCGGCCUGCGCGGAAGAUGUAACGGGGCUAAACCAUGCACCGAAGCUGCGGCAGCGACGCUUAUGCGUUGUUGGGUAGGGGAGCGUUCUGUAAGCCUGUGAAGGUGUGCUGUGAGGCAUGCUGGAGGUAUCAGAAGUGCGAAUGCUGACAUAAGUAACGAUAA
rnacentral:rRNA from 1 species